GAAGUACAUGCAUGCAUGUGUGUCUCUGCGUAGGGGUGCAUCCUUACGUACCUCUUGUACAUCAGCUGCCACCUUGGCGUUUUGUGUUCUACGCGUGCGCCACUUUAUGCUCGUGCUCCCUUUCUUCCUCGGCCAUUACUGCCGGCGAAUGCCCCUCAGUCGAUGCAGGCGUCUCCGUGAAGGCGUCUGCGCGUAUCACGGUGUCUACCCCGUCGCCUCCUUUGGCCCGCUAGCCGUGGGGGAAUCUCCUGUGAGAGUCGCUCGCUAGCAAAACUACGAGGCCAGCAUUGAAGAAAGCAUGAGGGCGUCGUACAUGACGUUCAUUCUCAGCUACUACCCCAGCCUGGACCCCAACCUGCCUUGACCCCCGCGACACAGUUCCCAUGCGGUGUACCGCCAGGAGGGCAAGUCACGGUCAGUGACUGGAGUAGCAGCAGCUGCUGCAACACCCUGGACGGCAGCGGAGCCGUCGCUACCCACAGGGCUGACUUGCCCGAUUCCGCUGGCGUUCGCGGCCGCCCACCCGCUCGCCAGACUCGCAACGGAGAAGAGCGCGGCCGGAUACCGUGCAUGCGGUGUGCUGGUGUGGCGCCGCCCGUUGUUGAGGCCUCUAUCCACGAAUGGCGCACCAGCGGGGCGGAGUAGCAGACGCAACGCACGCAGCGCCUGUAGCCGCAGCGGCGGCCAAAGAAACAGCUCUCGCUCAUCGUCGGCGUCCUCGUAGUCGUUGUGGGCAGUCCCCGGGACUGUAGGCCCACCACCGGGCCUGUGCGUUCGCAGGGACGCCGUCUUCUCCUCGCAGGUGGCGCAGGCGCAAGACCUCCACGGAGAGAACAGCAGCCGUUGGGAAAUGAGCGAAGAGCUGAUGCUGCUCAGCCCCCUUUGCGUCCAGUCGUCAAGGGUGCCAACGUGCAUCCCGUCUCGCCAAGGGCGAAGCGGCAACUUGGCGGUUGACGGCACGACAUGUCCGCCGCAGCGACCGUUGGUAUUGCCCACUGAAUCCAGCAUAGUAGUGCUGCUGCACGCCUACAGGGAGGCUGCGAGGGAGCUCGAAGAGGAGACAAAGCAGGCGAACGCCGAGCAGGGAAGGCGCGGAGCUGCUACGACCGAACCCACAUCGGCGAUCUGGCAGGCAUUGCAACCGCUGCUGUGGUGGCUAGAGAGUUGCGUGCGACCAGCGCAGUCGCGUCUUCACCGCGAAUGCGCAGAAUGCCGUAUGGUUGACGGCGCCAGUGACGCCGCAGUUGGGAGGCGUGGCCUCUCAGAUGGCAAGCGCGCCUCUGCGCUGGCGUGGCCGCCGUGCCUGUCGUGCGCGCUUCGCCUCUCCGUGUCCCCCCCCCCCCACCGCGAUGCCGCGGCAGCGUCGCCGGCGUGAGGCCGCUGCAAAACAACGAACACCGCUGAAUCUUCUCAAAAGUGCAGCAUCCGUGCAGUGGUGUCCGCACGCUGUCGUGGAGGUCGGGCUCUGCGGCCUCAGCAACGGAUCGCCGCUCCCGUUUUCCUCCCAAGCGUUUUGAGCUCACUGGGUCACCGCCGUACCGGCGGCAGCGCCUUCGCCUCGUUGCAAAACCCUUUGAUUUCCCGUGGGCAGCCGCUGUGGGGCCUUGCACAGCAGCGGCGUGAUCGCUGGCUCCUCGAGCUGUGCAGCCUGGAGGACGUUGGGGCCCGCACCGCACCGACUAACUCCGUCGCGCACGCGCCAACAGGCUGCAGGCACGAUGCAAAUGACGCGGAUAUGCAGCGCGACGAAGAUGAGCCCCUGAGCCGACGACGAGGCGAUGCCUCGUCCCCGGCAACGCGGCUACUCGCCUCGCUUCCGGUGCCCCUCCUACCUCUCCACACGUUAGACCUCAGCCUUCGCACAGAUCUGGGUUCUUUGGAGGACGGUCUAUCACAGUGGGCCGCCGCAUUUUACUACUGCGCUGCCUUCGCCGACUGAGUAUGAUGGGAUGCCGGCAGCUGCAGCACCUUCGAUAGCUCUCAGACAUGCCAGCCGAUUCGCUGGAGGUACUGAACAUUUCAGGCUGCUAUGCGCUGCUUCAUCUGCGCCCCGUGCGGCGGCUCUCGUCGCUGCGGCAGCUGAAGACAGCACGGCUGCAUCAGCUGGGACGUCUGGGUUGGUGGGGCAACGCUGCUAACGUGGAUACGUCCUUGACGGGGCGGGCCGCCGGCGGCGACUCCGUCCGUGACUGGCCAGUAUGUCUGGAGGAGCUGGACCUCUCGUGUAUGCAGCGACGCACACGCCCUAUCGCAGACUUUGCCUGCAUCGGACUGCUCGCCUGGCUGCUGCGGCUCUCUGUUGCCGCUCCGCAAGAGGAGCAGUCGGCCCGCGCGGACACCACACGUGCCGGUGCACUGCAACCGCAGCCGCGCCGCCGCCGCCGCCGUCGCCGAGCUCAGCAGCCUGACCGAGGCUGUCCUCAUCGACUGUCCCUUCGCACGCGACUCGACUCCUCUCUCCAACUUGACCUCGUGUCGCCACCUCUUUGCUUCGGAUCACCAUCAGGUGAAGAAUCUCGAGCAUCUUGCCACCUGCACGGCUCUGGAAGAGCCUUCCCUGAUCCACUACACGAAUCUCAGUGGCAUCUCCGCCCUGCGCUCGUUGCGCCAGCUUCGCGCUCUGUACAUUAUACUCACAGCAGUGCGUGAGAUGUGCGCUGGGUAGCCCACCCGCUCGCCGAAGAAGUCCCCUCGCGGUAUCGUCGUCCUCGUCAUGGACUGCGCCGACGCGUCUUGCGUGGCACUGUGACCACCACUGCCGACGCGAGGGACGUCAGCGGCGAAUACAAUUCUUCACCUGGUUGGUGCCCCAGACAUGGCAUUUGCGAGGCAUCACCGAGCUGGAAAGCGCGGCGUCGAUGAAGAACGUGCGCGUCCUGCACACGACCUCGCAGAAACGGGGGCAGAGGUGGAAGCUGGGCCGGGGUCGGACAGUGACGCCGAAAACGGCGCCAGCGGAAGUGCGCGUGCUGCCUGGUCAGAAGCGCUCACACUGAGCGACUCACGCCUUCUCAAGGACAUACGUGCGCUAGGUGCCCUGCCGAGGCUGCAGCAGUUAUACCUGAAUGACUGCGUGUCCGUCCACACGCUGGGAAGCGUCACUGCAGCAGGUUAGCACCACGCUUUAUGCCCACCAUCGCCAUGGUCAUCGAAUGGUUGUCGACGCUGUGGUGAUACAAGCGCGCUGCACGGCGGCCUAAGCCGGCGGUGGCACGCGCCGUUCUCGAAGCUGAUGACCGCUGUGCGCCCUGCGACAGCCGCUGUGGUUGGGUGGUUGGCGCGCGCCUCUCCGUCUCCCUCUCCACUGCGGUCGCCGUCAGGAGCCUCGUCUGGCGCGCAUCUGGCUUGUUGCAUCGAGGCUGCGUGCGGUGACGCAACCUCCAUGCAACAGUCACGCAUGUCGGACACCCCUUGCAGUCUCGCGCGGCUGCAUUCGACACUCCGCUACUUGAAUGCGUUGGGCGGUAAGGCGCUGGUGGACGGCUCCGCCAUUGGCAGUCUUGAGCAUCUAGAGCACCCGCACGCCCCUUUCACCAGCAUGCGCGGCGUGCAGUGGAUACGCAGAUGCCACUUGCUGAAGGUGCUGGAUCUAGCUAACUCACCGUGCUGUGUACGGGGCGGUCAAGGCGACUCUGGAGGAGGAGCUGCAGCAGUGCUUGCCGGAGCUGGAGCUCCUGAGCAGCAGACCAGUGGAUGAGUUGUCACCGAGCUGCUCUUAGGAAAGCGUACGGCAGGGUGCAGCGGCAAAAGUCUACGUCGGUGCUGAGAGUGCAACCGCGAUCUACCGUGGUCGCGUGUGAUUUCUUUCUCUUGGGGGUGGAGAGGAGGUGUGUGUGCGGUGGUACGAACGGGCAGGUAAAGACCCGUAUCUGGUGGCACACAGGCACGCACGCGCACACGCAGAGAUACGCUGCGGCGGCGGCUGCCACACCUCGAAGACUUCGAGAAAGAGAGAGAAAUGGAAAGGAAAGUGGAAUGGUGGCGUCAGAGGUAUACGCUUGUGAAGUCGGGUCAGGGGAAGGAGGCAGAGGGGUUGGGGCACGACGGCACCUCCCU
rnacentral:misc_RNA from 1 species